rnacentral:rRNA from 1 species
UACAUGGGGUGCAAACGUUGCUCGGAAUUAUUGGGCGUAAAGCGCACGUAGGUGGUCUGUUAUGUCGGAUGUGAAAGCCCUCGGCUCAACUGAGGAAGUGCAUCCGAAACUGGCAGGCUUGAGUAUGUAAGAGGGUCGCGGAAUUCCCGGUGUAGAGGUGAAAUUCGUAGAUAUGGGGUGGAACACCGGUGGCGAAGGCGGCCAUCGUGGACGGAGUACUGACGCUGAGACGCGAAAGCGUGGGUAGCAAACGAGGAUUGAUAUACCCGU